GAUGUAACGCUAGCGACAGGCUUAACACAUGCAAGUCGGAGGGGCGAACGGGGGUGAGCAAUCAUCUGCCGGCGACCGGCGCACGGGUGAGUAACACGUAUGCAACCUGCCCGUCACGAGGGGGAUAAUCGAGAGAAAUCUCGUCUAAUACCGCAUACACUCUUCGGGAGGCAUCUUCGGGAGAGGAAAGAUUAAUUGGUGACGGAUGGGCAUGCGGGACAUUAGCUAGUUGGCGGGGUAACGGCCCACCAAGGCGACGAUGUCUAGGGGUUCUGAGAGGAACGGUCCCCCCACACUGGUACUGAGACACGGACCAGACUCCUACGGGAGGCAGCAGUGAGGAAUAUUGGUCAAUGGGCGAGAGCCUGAAACCAGCCAAGUCGCGUGAGGGAAGACGGUCCUACGGAUUGUAAACCUCUUUUGUCGGGAACAAAAGGCGCCACGCGUGGUGUAUAGAGUGUACCCG
rnacentral:rRNA from 1 species